rnacentral:lncRNA from 1 species
CGAGGAAACGGGUCGGCAGCGCGCACGAGGUCAGAGGUCAUCCUGCCCCGUCCGCGCCCCCGCUGCCCAGCUGGAAGAAGGUCGUUGCCGGUGCUGCCAGAGUUCAGAUGAGCGGACAGGAGAAGACGCGGCUGAGGCAGUGGAGGCCGAGGAGAACCAGAACGAACCAGGCGCCGCCCGAGCAGGAGGACUGGGAGAAGGAGGUGUGGGUCGCCCCGCGCUACGAUGAUUUCAAGGAGCUCCACAACCACAGCUGCUCCCGUGAACCUUACAGCCCGGCUGCUCACCACAUGUCACCAGUGAAGUGGGUGCGUUUCUCCGGCAGGGUGGUGGCCGGGCAGUUCAGCGAUGCGGAGGAGUAGGGGAACGACAUUCCCUCUGCUCUUUAUUACUACUGUUUAGCUUGUUCAUUAAUUUUUUUCAUGCGUUAAUGUAAAUGUAAUAGUUCUGUUUUUUUUAUGAGGUUUUAUUGGUUGUUGUUAUUAAUAUCUGUUGCUAUUAGUUGAAGGAAAAUGUGACUGCUGCUGUUUUUCUUUUGAAGUAGUUGUUACUGGAGAGAGAUGUUAUUCAGUUGUCGGUUAUGGGAGGAUCCCACAGUGGCUUGAAGGGUGUAUAUGUUUGUGUGUUGCAGGUGAAUUUCUCUAUUUUGGGGUAAGCUUAAGCUUAAAAGCAAAAUGUAGAACAUCAAAAAAUGUAUUAAAAAUGAAAUUUUCAGAUGUGUUCCUUACAUUUACAGCAUUAAUCAGACAGAACAACUUACAAUCAGGAGUUACAGGGACAGCCCCCUGGAGACACUCAGGGUUAAGUGUCUUGCUCAGGAACACAAUGGCAGUAAGUGGG